AGUGAACGCUGGCGGUAGGCCUAACACAUGCAAGUCGAACGGCAGCACAGUAAGAGCUUGCUCUUACGGGUGGCGAGUGGCGGACGGGGGAGGAAUACAUCGGAAUCUACUUUUUCGUGGGGGAUAACGUAGGGAAACUUACGCUAAUCCCGCAUACGACCUACGGGUGAAAGCAGGGGAUCUUCGGACCUUGCGCGAUUGAAUGAGCCGAUGUCGGAUUAGCUAGUUGGCGGGGUAAAGGCCCACCAAGGCGACGAUCCGUAGCUGGUCUGAGAGGAUGAUCAGCCACACUGGAACUGAGACACGGUCCAGACUCCUACGGGAGGCAGCAGUGGGGAAUAUUGGACAAUGGGCGCAAGCCUGAUCCAGCCAUACCGCGUGGGUGAAGAAGGCCUUCGGGUUGUAAAGCCCUUUUGUUGGGAAAGAAAAGCAGCAGGUUAAUACCCCGCUGUUCUGACGGUACCCAAAGAAUAAGCACCGGCUAACUUCGUG
rnacentral:rRNA from 1 species